GGGCUCAUUUCGGCAGCACAUUUACUGAAAUUGGAAAGAUACAGGGAAGAUCAGCAUGGCCCCCACGCAAGGAUGACCCCCAAACUGAUGAAACGUUCCACAUUUUG